GAGAAUGUAUCAAUGGAAGGGAGUUGGAGAGAAAAAGGAGAAAGAGCAGAAAAAAAACCAGUGAAAGGUGCUUUAGAGAAUGAAGAAAAUGACCAAGAGAAUGUAUCAAUGGAAGGGAGUUGGAGAGAAAAAGGAGAAAGAGCAGAAAAAAACCAGUGAAAGGUGCUUUAGAGAAUGAAGAAAAUGACCAAGAGAAUGUAUCAAUGGAAGGGAGUUGGAGAGAAAAAGGAGAAAGAGCAGAAAAAAAACCAGUGAAAGGUGCUUUAGAGAAUGAAGAAAAUGACCAAGAGAAUGUAUCAAUGUAAGUAC